GCGAACGUGGCGGAACUGGCAGACGCACUGGAUUUAGGUUCCAGCGGGUAAUACCGUGUGGGUUCGAGUCCCACCGUUCGCACCA
rnacentral:tRNA from 1 species